rnacentral:rRNA from 1 species
UCUAAACCUUUCUUGCGAUGUUAGUGAGCGUUUUCGGUGGAUACGACUACGAUAUCUCAAUUUGUGGUCGUUACAGAUGAGUGAGUGAUGUAAUUCGAACGAUAAUACACAAUUCACCAKGAAGUUGUUUCUGUAUCUGUUUUUAUCCUUCUACGCAUCUAGAAGUCAUUUAUGCGCCAAUCAUGACGGUUACGUGAAAAUUUGUCGUGCAUUCCCUAUGAAAUUAUUUGUAUWGUUACAAAAAGCGUUUGAAACAGGAUCCGUCCCACUUUGUUAUCAUCUUUGGUAUUUUUUUCUAUUAGUUUUAUUUUUAUUUUAUAAUUUGUAAAUAGAAAAUGCUUUCGCAAACUGAGUGAUAUACAAAUAGC